rnacentral:rRNA from 1 species
CCUACGGGUGGCAGCAGUAGGGAAUAUUUCACAAUGGGCGAAAGCCUGAUGGAGCAACGCCGCGUGCAGGAUGAAGGCCUUCGGGUUGUAAACUGCUAUUAUCAGGGAGGAAUAUGAUGGUAACUUAUGAAUAAGGCUCGGCUAACUAAGUGACCGCAGCCGCGGUCAUACGUAAGAUCGGAGCAUUAUACGGAGUUUCUGGGUGUAAAGAGGUGCGUAGGUGGCAUAAUAAGUAGCUAGUGAAAUCUGGUGGCUCAACCAUUCAGACUAUUAGCUAAACUGUUAAGCUCGAGACCGUUAGGGGUAAGUGGAAUUGCUAGUGUAGGAGUGAAAUCCGUAGAUAUUAGAAGGAACACCAAUAGCGUAGGCAGGUUACUGGGACGGUUCUGACACUAAGGCACGAAAGCGUAGGGAGCAAACGGGAUUAGAUACCCCGGUAGUC